rnacentral:rRNA from 1 species
AUGAUUAGGAGUGAGUCUAUGGAUGAUAAGGUCCGUGGACAAAAGGGGAACAGCCCAGACCACCAGCUAAGGUCCCUAAUUAUGUCUAAGUGGGAAAGGAGGUGGAUAUUCACAGACAACCAGGAGGUUGGCUUAGAAGCAGCCAUACCUUAAAAGAGUGCGUAAUAGCUCACUGGUCGAGAGUAUCUGCGCCGAAGAUGUAACGGGGCUAAGACAUAAACCGAAGCUGUGGAAGAUGCUUUAGCAUCUUGGUAGGAGAGCGUUCUGUAAGCCGAUGAAGGCAGGCUGCAAGGCCUGCUGGAGGUAUCAGAAGUGAGAAUGCAGGAAUGAGUAGCGAGAAGGCGGGUGAGAAUCCCGCCGGCCGGAAGUCCAAGGUUUCCAGGGGAAGGUUUGUCCGCCCUGGGGAAGUCGGGACCUAAGCCGAGGCUAAGUAGCGUAGGCGAAUGGAAAAUAGGUUAAUAUUCCAGGCAGACCCUAAAUUGCAAGAUACGUUAUGAGUGGCAGGCUGCGGAAGAUUUGGCACGGAUGGAGUGACGCAGGAAGGUAUGUGAGAAGGCUGACGGUUUAGCCUUUCUAAGGAAAUAGCGUGGGCAUAUAGGCAAAUCCGUAUGCUUAAACGUGAGAACUGAUGGGUAAGCACCUCUUGGUGUAAGUCACAAAUCCUACACUGCCAAGAAAAACUUCUAAGGAGGAGAUUAAGUGCCCGUACUGUAAACCGACACAGGUGGACAGAGUGAGAAACUUAAGGCCGACAGGCUAACUCUAGCUAAGGAACUCUGCAAAAUAGCCCCGUAACUUCGGGAGAAGGGGUGCCUAUAUUACUUGAGAAGAGAAACACUUCAAGGGGAAAUAGGUCGCAGUGAAGAGUCUCAAGCAACUGUUUACCAAAAACACAGGUCUAUGCUAAGCUGAAAGGCGACGUAUAUGGGCUGACACCUGCCCAGUGCCGGAAGGUUAAGAGGAGGAUUGAGAGAUCCGAAUUGAAGCCCCGGUGAACGGCGGCCGUAACUAUAACGGUCCUAAGGUAGCGAAAUUCCUUGUCGGGUAAGUUCCGACCUGCACGAAUGGUGAAAUGAUUUGAGAGCUGUCUUGGCUGGAGGCCUGGUGAAGUUGUAAUGUCGGUGAAGAUGCCGACUACCUGCAGUAGGACGGAAAGACCCCGUGGAGCUUUACUGUAGCUUGGCAUUGGGUUUUGGCAAUGUGUGUAUAGGAUAGUUGGGAGACUAUGAAGUAAUGGCGUCAGUUGUUACAGAGUCGCUGUUGGAAUACCAACCAUAUGUUGUUGAAAUUCUAAUCUGGUAACGGAGACAGUGCUAGGUGGGCAGUUUGACUGGGGCGGUCGCCUCCAAAAGAGUAACGGAGGCGUUCAAAGGUUCCCUCAGGUUGGAUGGAAAUCAACCUAAGAGUGCAAACGCAUAAGGGAGCUUGACUGCGAGACUGACGGGUCGAGCAGGUACGAAAGUAGGAGUUAGUGAUCCGGUGGUUCCAAAUGGAAGGGCCAUCGCUCAACGGAUAAAAGCUACCCCGGGGAUAACAGGCUGAUACUUCCCAAGAGUCCAUAUCGACGGAAGUGUUUGGCACCUCGAUGUCGGCUCGUCUCAUCCUGGGGCUGGAGAAGGUCCCAAGGGUUGGGCUGUUCGCCCAUUAAAGAGGCACGCGAGCUGGGUUCAGAACGUCGUGAGACAGUUCGGUCCCUAUCCACUGCAGGCGCUAGAAUAUUGAAAAGAUCUGUCCUUAGUACGAGAGGACCGGGAUGGACAAACCUCUGAUGUAUCAGUUGUCACGCCAGUGGCAUGGCUGAGUAGUCACGUUUGGAAGGGAUAAUCGCUGAAAGCAUCUAAGUGAGAAGCCCACUUUGAGAUGAGUGUUCUUUU